CACGAAGCUGGAAUCGCUAGUAAUCGCGAAUCAGAAUGUCGCGGUGAAUACGUUCCCGGGUCUUGUACACACCGCCCGUCACACCAUGGGAGUCGGGAAUGCCCGAAGUCAGUGACCCAACCAUAUGGAGGGAGCUGCCGAAGGCAGGUCUGAUAACUGGGGGUGAAGUCGUAACAAGGUAUC
rnacentral:rRNA from 1 species